rnacentral:rRNA from 1 species
ACGGGAGGCAGCAGUAGGGAAUCUUCCGCAAUGGGCGAAAGCCUGACGGAGCAACGCCGCGUGAGUGAUGAAGGUCUUCGGAUCGUAAAACUCUGUUAUUAGGGAAGAACAUAUGUGUAAGUAACUGUGCACAUCUUGACGGUACCUAAUCAGAAAGCCACGGCUAACUACGUGCCAGCAGCCGCGGUAAUACGUAGGUGGCAAGCGUUAUCCGGAAUUAUUGGGCGUAAAGCGCGCGUAGGCGGUUUUUUAAGUCUGAUGUGAAAGCCCACGGCUCAACCGUGGAGGGUCAUUGGAAACUGGAAAACUUGAGUGCAGAAGAGGAAAGUGGAAUUCCAUGUGUAGCGGUGAAAUGCGCAGAGAUAUGGAGGAACACCAGUGGCGAAGGCGACUUUCUGGUCUGUAACUGACGCUGAUGUGCGAAAGCGUGGGGAUCAAACAGGAUUAGAUACCCUGGUAGUCCACGCCGUAAACGA